rnacentral:rRNA from 1 species
UACAGAGGGGGCAAGCGUUAUUCGGAAUUAUUGGGCGUAAAGGGCGCGUAGGCGGCCUCGUAAGUCGAAGGUGAAAUCCCCGAGCUUAACUCGGGAACUGCCUUCGAUACUGCUUGGCUUGAGUCCGGGAGGGGAGAGCGGAAUUCCCAGUGUAGCGGUGAAAUGCGUAGAUAUCGUGGAGAACACCCGUGGCGAAGGCGGGCUUCUGGCUAAUAACUGACGCUGAGGUGCGAAAGCUAGGGGAGCGAACGGGAUUAGAUACCCUGGUAGU